rnacentral:lncRNA from 1 species
AAUUUUUGUAAGAACUACCAUCAAAGUUUAACUUAAAGGAGCCAUGCAUUGGUAGGGUCUAUUUCAUUUUCGGUUUACACUUAGCUUUCCCCAACUUAAAAAGAUUAGGGAGAUUCGCCAAUUAAUUUGAGAAAUUACCCAGCCUUCUUUCAGAAUUGAUUAGCAACUCCAAAUGGCAUACUUAAUGUUGAACAAACCCUAUCAAAAGGCAGUGAAACCCCCUCAAAGGUCAUGAGAUUCCUCUCCUUCCACAACUUCCACAUGAUUGCCCCUCUAAGGAUCAUCCAAAACUUCAUAAAACCCUCAAACAACCAUACCCCUGAAAAUUGUGUUAGAAUACAAUCUAAACAAAAUGGCACUGCCCACAUAACUCGGAGCUGGUUGAAACACCACCCCCACAUUCUUGAAGCAAAAGUACAAUGGAAGAAUAAAUGAGUACCCGAUUCCCCACCACAUUUACACAUAAGGCACACAUUCCUCAAGAUCUUACCCCUUUUACUAACCCCUUUUACUAAGAUUGUCAAUAGUUAGAAUCUUCUCCUAUAUAGCUAAAUACACAAAAG